UCAAAAUAUUAGUGGGUAUAGGAGAGAUGUGAGUUUCUUUCGUUCUUUGUUCUUCGUCGUCGUCCUCCUCCAUCUGCCCUGUGAUCUCUCGCUCUCUCUCCCUCAGAUUUUCUUAUCUUGUCGAUUACUUUCCCUGAGGAAGACUUUCUUCUGCUUUGUCCGGCUCAUUCUUCAGUCAAAUUCCCAAACUAGAAGUCGAGACCUCAUAAUUGUCUACCAGAAACACCUUGUUCUGUGUGGAUCAGCACUCACUCAAGAUGAUAAGAUAAAAGCGUUAUUAUCUCAUAAGGGUUAUGGUCGAGCUUUGGAGAUGAGAGGAUCAUUGGGUUCUUGAUCAAGUUUAUUGUUUCUUUGGAGUUUGCUCUUGAUCAAGAUAACAGGAGAGGUUGAGGCUAUAUCUCUUGUCAAAGGGAUGGAAGUGAAGAAGGAAGGUCCCAAGGAACUCGCUGCUUCUGUCGCCGGAUUGAUUGUAUAAAACGACUACGGUUAACUAAACACCUCGAAUUGCCUACGCUAUACGAGGAAUUGGAAUGUCCUUAAAUUCGACGUUGUUUCGAAAACGCUCUUUGUAUAGAAUCGUAACAACGCCUAAGUCAGAAAACGGCCCAAAAGGGGGCCAGAACGCGGCAAAGAGCUCACUUACGAUUUUAUAGGAAUCAAGCCCAAUCAUUGGUUUAUCUUUA